GACGAACGCUGGCGGCGUGCUUAACACAUGCAAGUCGAACGGAAAGGCCCUGCUUUUGUGGGGUGCUCGAGUGGCGAACGGGUGAGUAACACGUGAGUAACCUGCCCUUGACUUUGGGAUAACUUCAGGAAACUGGGGCUAAUACCGGAUAGGAGCUCCUGCUGCAUGGUGGGGGUUGGAAAGUUUCGGCGGUUGGGGAUGGACUCGCGGCUUAUCAGCUUGUUGGUGGGGUAGUGACUUACCAAGGCUUUGACGGGUAGCCGGCCCGAGAGGGUGACCGGCCACAUUGGGACUGAGAGACGGCGCAGACUGCUACGGGAGGCAGCAGUGGGGAAUAUUGCACAAUGGGCGGAAGCCUGAUGCAGCAACGCCGCGUGCGGGAUGACGGCCUUCGGGUUGUAAACCGCUUUCGCCUGUGACGAAGCGUGAGUGACGGUAAUGGGUAAAGAAGCACCGGCUAACUACGUG
rnacentral:rRNA from 1 species